rnacentral:rRNA from 1 species
AGCCUGAUGCAGCAACGCCGCGUGAGGGAUGACGGCCUUCGGGUUGUAAACCUCUUUUGGUAGGGAAGAAGCCUUCGGGUGACGGUACCUGCAGAAAAAGCGCCGGCUAACUACGUGCCAGCAGCCGCGGUAAUACGUAGGGCGCAAGCGUUAUCCGGAAUUAUUGGGCGUAAAGAGCUCGUAGGCGGUCUGUCGCGUCUGCUGUGAAAUCCCGAGGCUCAACCUCGGGCUUGCAGUGGGUACGGGCAGACUAGAGUGCGGUAGGGGAGAUUGGAAUUCCUGGUGUAGCGGUGGAAUGCGCAGAUAUCAGGAGGAACACCGAUGGCGAAGGCAGAUCUCUGGGCCGUUACUGACGCUGAGGAGCGAAAGGGUGGGGAGCAAACAGGCUUAUAUACCCUGGUAGUCCACCCCGUAAACGUUGGGAACUAGUUGUGGGGGCCUUUCCACGGAUUCCGUGACGUAGCUAACGCAUUAAGUUCCCCGCCUGGG